GCCCGCCGCCUGGGGAGCGGCGCUGCCGCUCGGAGCGCUCCGUGGCCGCGCGGAGCGGCAGUGGUUGAGCCGCACCUGGAAACGCCGCUUGCGUAGAGCCCCUCCGAGAGAGAUGAAGACAAAUGGGUUUAAGUGAGUUUUCAGCUCCCUGCAAUAGUUCUUCCCAAUCCCAGACAGGUGGCUGUUCUAGAGCAGAUGGGCCCUGCAGUGGAGGUGGAGAGAGCUCCCAGAGCUGAUGUUCAUCGCGUUCCAGAGCAGCCCUGAUGAGCAGAACCUUUAGAAGUCUGAAACUUGGAAAGGACUGAAAGCAGAAGAUUGUCCAUUGUAACCUGUUCCUGCAAUUUGAACUUCAUACUCUGAAAAUGACAGUGGCUGUUCCUCAUCCCCAUGUGAGAAUGGGGGGAGCUGUAAGGAUUUGGAAGUGGGUUACCAGUGCACCUGCCCUGUGGAGCCUGUAGCCUACAUGGGCAUAAAUUGUGAACUCCUCUAUGAUGCUUGCAUUGAACAUGGCUGUCCUGCCCACAUGACCUGCACCCGGACUCCAGGACUCCUGGAAUAUGGGUGUGUGUGCACACCUGGCUCUGCAGGUGCCGACUGCGGCAGCGCUGACGAGUGCGAGAGCAGCCCUUGCACAGACCCUCGACUGGAAUGUGUGGAUAGCCCAAGUGGAUACACCUGUAGAUGCCAGCCGGGCCCCGGUGGAGAAGGCUGCCCGGCAGAAAGCUCCGUGUGCUCCAGCCACCCCUGCCUGAACAACGGCACGUGUGUGGCGGCUGCGGGCGGCUACCGCUGCCUCUGCCGGCCCGGCUUCAGCGGGGCCACGUGCGGGGACGACAUCGACGAGUGCGCGUCGGGGCCGUGCCGGAACGGGGCCAUCUGCAGGGACAGCGCGGGCGAGUACAGCUGCUUCUGUGUGCCCGGCUUCCAGGGCUCCAACUGCGAGAUCGACAUCGACGAGUGCGCGUCCCGGCCCUGCCGCAACCACGGCACCUGCCUCAACCACAUGGACCACUACGAGUGCCAGUGCGCGCCCGGCUAUGCAGGUGUGAACUGUGAUACUGAAAUAGAUGAAUGUGCUUCAGACCCUUGCCAGAAUGGGGCCCUGUGCAAUGAUCAUGUUGGGUUCUACACCUGCACCUGUGCACCAGGUUACCAAGGAACCCAGUGUGAGGUGGACAUCAAUGAAUGUGAGAGCCAGCCAUGCCAGGGCAAUGGGACAUGUCACGACCUCAUUAACAGCUACCAUUGUGACUGCAGUGACACCGGCUUUGAGGGGACCCACUGCGAGCUGGACAUCCUGGAGUGUGCCUCUGACCCCUGCCACAACAGUGCCACGUGCCUGGAGGGAAUCAAGGGCUACAGCUGUGCCUGCUGGCCAGGUUACACUGGGCAGGACUGUGAGGAGGAUGUGGAUGAGUGUGUGACAGAGCCCUGUCACAACGGUGGCCUGUGCCUGGAGCGCUCCAACCCAGCCCAUUAUGGGACACAGCCCCACUUCCCCAGCAACUUCAGCUACAGCCAAGCAGCUGGCUUCCUGUGCCAGUGCCAGCCAGGCUUUACAGGGGACACCUGCUUUACCAACAUCAACGAGUGCGAGUCCCAGCCCUGCCAGAACGGAGGGCUCUGCCAGGACCUGGUGAAUGGCUUCCUCUGUCAGUGCCCACCUGGUUAUUCAGGAUUCCAGGAUGAGAGGGCAGGACCAAGCUGGACUGGGAGUGUGCAGCAGGCUGUCUGCAGUUCAGGCUCAAAGCUGUGUGUGGAAUGUGCUGUUAACAUCAAUGAGUGUGAGGAGGGUCCCUGCAAGAAUGGAGCUGUCUGUGAGGAUGGCAUUGCUGACUAUUCCUGCCACUGUGCCCCUGGCCAGGAUGGCAUUACGUGGGGAGGGAAGAACUGCUCUGUCCAGCUCACUGGGUGCCAGACGCACGACUGCCAAAACGAGGCCUUGUGCAUCCCAACCUACCAAGCUGAGAGCCACGGCCACCUGUGCCAGUGCCAGCCUGGUUUCUCUGAUGCCACAUGCUCAACACCAACAACGUUUUCCUUUGCUUCCAGAGGGUAUCUCCUCAUUGAGCUGCCCGAGAACAGUGCGAGCGGGAGGGGCGCAGGAGGAGCCAGCCUGUCCCUCCGCUUCCGAACCACUUUGCCCAGCGCUGUCCUUUUUUACCGAGGCCGUGAAGCUGAGUACUUGUUCCUGGAGCUCUUGGAUGGCAUCCUGCAUGCAGAGCUGAAGAGGGAGGAUGUUGGGUACCCGCUGCUCCUGAAGGGGCUGAGAGUGGACGAUGGCCAAUGGCAUAAAGUGGAAGUUGUUGUGCACAGCACGGUGCAGCUGAAGCUCUGGCAUGGCUCUUGUGAGGCCGGGGUCUGCCUGCAGAGCUCUCCUGUCCCACCAGGCACUGCUGUGAUCCCACAAACCUUCCUGAAUCUGUAUAUUGGAGGUGCUGAGGAUCCAAUGGCCAACAACACACGGAGCCAGCAAGGCUUUGUGGGCUGCCUGGAGGACUUGCAGGUGGACGCUGAGGCCGUGCUGCCGGCGGAUCUGCCGCUGGGGGAGUCGUCCCCGGCGAGGCCGGGCUGUGACCGCACCGAGUGGUGCCUCUCCCAGCCCUGCUUCCACGGAGGGCUCUGCGUGGACCUUUGGGCCACCUUCAGGUGUGACUGUGCCAGGCCCUAUGGAGGCCCAGCUUGCUCAUAUGAGCGCCCAGCAGCAACAUUUGGCCUAGAGAAUUCCACCAGCUUUGCCUCUUUCACCCUUUCUGACAGCCUUGGUGCAGACUUCAACCUCUCCUUUUUCCUGCGGAGCCGGAAGCCCGAUGGUUUGUUGCUGCAGGUCUGCAAUGGGACAGGCCCCUGCCUCACCCUGUACCUCAGGGAUGGCCAGCUGAGCAUAGAGACGUCACCUACGGACACCGUGACCUUUCCAGGGAAUGUGGUUGAUGGGAGAAGACAUUUGAUAGCCCUGUCUUUCCGAGGAGGCUCUGUUGGUGCCCUGCAGUCAGACACGUUUGUGGAGCUGGGGCAGCUGCCAGCACAAGCCCUGGGAGCUGGCUCUGAAGUGUUCAUUGGGGGACACCCGAACCCCGACAGUGCUGGGCUGUGGGGGGGCUAUUUCAAGGGCUGUUUGCAGGACAUCCAACUCAACAGCCACCAGAUACAGUUUUUCCAGGUGGAGAACGACAGUUUGCCAGAGGAACUCAAUAGGACUCAAACUGGAAAUCUUGUGAAUGGCUGCAUCUCUGAUGACACCUGCAAGUCUGAGCCAUGUCAGAAUGGUGGCAGAUGCAUUGUCACUUGGAAUGAUUUCCAUUGCAGCUGUCCAGCAAAUUUCACUGGGAAAUUUUGUGAAGAAAAAGUCUGGUGUGAAAGUGACCCAUGUCCUGAAGCCACCACCUGCAUAGACGUUGUGGCAGGAUAUGUGUGUCUGGCUAAUGCAACAUUUAAUAGUUAUGCUGCCAUAGAAUUUACCACCAACACAUCAGUGACCAGAACUCUGAGCAGCCUCCACGUGGACUUCAGAACCAGAGAUGAAGAUGCUGUUUUGCUUCAGGCUGUGGAAGAGGUGGAUUCCCUCCAGGUAGCCAUUAAGAAUUCCUCCCUGCUUGUUGACAUCAGGAGUGGGAACAGCAUUGAGGGUGUCAGCUUCCUGAGCCCGCAGCCCGUCACGGAUGGGGCCUGGCACAGCGUCUCCGUGUCCAUGGAGGAGCCGGCCGCGCUCUCUUCCCGGUGGCUGCUCCGCUUGGAUGGGUCAGUGAACGUGACUCUGCAGGGAAGCGCCGGCAACUUGGACUUCCUCAAGAACAACGCGUUGGUCGUUUUGGCUGAAAAUUUCACCGGCUGCCUGGGCCGGGUGCAGAUCGGGGGCAUCUUCCUGCCCUUCCCGCCCCACCGGCCGUACCCGCAGGCCGAGCAGUUCCAGCGGGCCGGCCCGGGCAGUGUCCAGCUGGGCUGCUCCGGGGCCGACGUGUGCGCCUCCAGCCCCUGCCUCAACGCCGGCACCUGCGAGGACCUGUUCGACGCCUUCCGCUGCGGCUGCAGCGCGGGCUGGGCGGGGCAGCGCUGCGAGGCCAACAUCGACGACUGCCAGCCCAGCCCCUGCGUCCACGGGGACUGCGUGGAUGCCGUGGCAGACUUCCAGUGCGAGUGCUUCCGCGGCUUCAUCGGGAAGAGGUGCGACAUCAACGUGGACGACUGCGUGCGGCACCAGUGCCUGAACGGAGCCACCUGCGUCGAUGGCGUUUACGGAUACUCCUGCAAGUGCCCCCCUCAGUACUCCGGACCUCGCUGCGAGUGGCCAUUCCCCCCUCAGCAGUGUGGCAAGAACUUCACCUGCUUGAACGGUGGCAGGUGCAUCACCGAGAGCUGGGGAGCCAACUGCUCCUGCAGGCCUGGCUUCACUGGAAGGAACUGUCAAAUCAACAUAAACGAGUGUGACCCGAACCCGUGCCAGAACGGGGGCACGUGCCAGGACUCUGAGAACAGAUACGAGUGCGUGUGCAGCGCCAGCUACACCGGCGAGCGCUGCGACAUCAACCAGCGAGUGUGGGCGCACCUCAGCCACUCCUCCGUGGUGGGAGCAGUCGGGGCUGCGGGGGCUGCCCUACUCCUCGCACUGGUUGUAGCCACGGCGAUUGCCAUGAAGAGGAGGAGAGCGACUCAGGGAACCUACAGCCCGAGCCGGCAGGAGAAGGACGGGGCCCGAGUGGAAAUGUGGAACGUGAUCAAGAUGCCCCCGACCGAGCGGCUGAUCUGAGCCGGGGUCACGGAGCUGCCGCAGGCGCUGCCCGGGGCCGUGGGCUGGGGGGGACAGCUCUGCACGGCCUCGGGCACUGCCCCAGCGGGCUGCUCACUGCAGCUCAUCCCACAAAGCAUUCCUAGCAAACUGCUCUGGCGGCGAAAGCGGCGGCGCUGGGGAGCAAAAACCCCACUGCUGAGGGCCAGGGGAGGGAGCAGUGGCUGUGGCACAGGGGACAGGGAACCAGACAGAAAACCAGGCUGUGUCACAGCCGGAGCCGGCUGGGCUCUGCAGGCAGCAGAAAAACCACCCUGAGGCAGGUCCAGUGAAGGGGAAUUAAACCACUGUAUUCAGAAAUAAUGUGAGUAAUAAGGUUUUUUUCAAAAAGACACAUACCUGAGGCUCCUCUGCAAGGCUAAGCCAGGUGAGUGAGUGCUGGGAAAUCCUUCCUAGAGCUGCUGCUGCCCUUCCAGCUGGCCAGAGUAAGUCCCACUGGGCUGUGCUGGACAUGGCUGCUGGAGCUUUCCCUGAGACUAGACCAAACCACAGGAAUAUUUGAAGUGCCUUUCUGAUCCUGAGGUGCCAGUUACAGUUUUAACCUUUGUGAAAGGAGAACGUUUCCGUGUUGUUUGAUCCAGCUCCACCAAUCCCUGAGCAGCUUGGGCCAUGGAACUGACCCUUGUGAGAGCCAGGGGCUGAGCAUCAGGAGGUACUUGCUGGGGUGAGGAGGGGAGAAAGAAAGAGUUCUAGAAGUGACCUCUCUGGACUGACAGGUUUGGGCUUGUUGGUACAGGAGAGUGGAAUUUAGUUAACCAAUCUUUUAACCAAAAGGGUUGGUGUAAGUGACACAGCAUCUGAUUUCCACUGCACUAAAAAGGGGUUUGAUUUUGUGGCUUCACUUCUCCUGUGUUACUGUUUUAGCUGUUGAAUGUGCUGUUUCUUCUUUAGCAUAAUGUGGCAGAGGCUGUGGAAGGAAAUGCAGCACAGCAGGCCAGGUAAGGUCUAAAGUCAUUAGUGUUUCAGGAUAAUCACAACAACUAUCAAUAAGGAAUAUUUUAGAACAGUGUCUGCUUUUUAAUCUCCAAAAUACUACUAAAAAUCAGGGUGGGAACCUGCCCACUGUAGCUCAUUGCCACAAGAAAAUGCUGUUUAUUCUGGUCUGCUUUUGGAUUUAUUUUUUUUUCUGCUGUAGCCGUAAAUGUUUCUGUAAUUCCAUGCAAAGGGAGGGGCAUGGAACUGCUGCUCACAUCUGUUCGUUUAAGAACAGGUGUGUCUGUGUAAGAACAGGUCUCUGCAACAGGCAGCUGCUGACAGAAGAAUUAAAACUUUAGAAAAUAGAAAAAAACAGGGGUGGGAGACAGACAAUAUUUUGUCUGUAAGAUCACUUUCCCUCUAGUAGUGGAGAAGAGUCGAAGGUGUGAGCCCAGCUGUGUCUGGGAGGCAGCUGGAGCUGGCAGUGACAGAGAUGCCCUGGCUGCAGGUGGGAGCCUGUGCCUCCUUUCCUCUGUUCCUGUCACUGGUUUCUCUGGGCAUUUUCCAGCUGCUCUUUCGGGGGGUCCAGCACACUUUAGGAACAGAGGCAGUGGCACUGCCCGGUCCCCUUGUGGCAGUGGGGCUUUGGGAGCAGGGGUGGGCACAGCCCUGGGGCCCUGUGCUGCCAGGCAAAGCUGCUGUGCUUUCCUGCAGCCCGGGGGGUGCAAUAACCUCGGGGGGGCUCAGGGGUCUCUGCCACCUCUAUCCCAGCAUCCCAGGGCAGGUCCUGCUCCUGCUUUUUCACUCCACUCCACAUUUGGUGUUGCUCUGUACAGAAAUGAGGCAGCAGCAGGAUCCAGAGGAGCCCCUGUUCCUCCAGCCCGCGGGUGCUGAACACCAGGCCGUGUUCCCAGAGCUCCCUGAGCUCCUGCAGUUCCCUGCAAGGUACAAAUCCCUGGAGCCCCGGCAGGUCCGGCCGUGCCCCGGCAGCAGCUCCUCAGGGCUGCAUUCCAAGCACCCAAAGCCAGUAUUAGCAAAGGUGUUAAAAUACUCUGUCAGUGUCUUGAGCAUUUCUGCAAAAUAAUUUAUGGAAGGUGGUUUUUUUUUUUCAAUCAUGAACUUAACUUUCUUUUGAUAUUUAAUUUUUGAAUAUAUUUUUUCACAAAACUGGACUUGCUGUAGUUAAUUAUUAUGAUCCUGAUUUCUUUUUUAAUUGUAAAUUUUAUAAUUUGUAAAUAAUUAGAAUGUCCUUCAAAAGAAAUUUACAAUAAAAAUUGGUUAAAAACAGACCCGGUUUUUGACUGGUGACUGUUUUUCCCCGAAGAACACCUUGCUGUCUGGAUGGAUGAUCAUGGUCUGUGCCACACCCCCUGCACAGCUGCAAACUUUGAUGGU